GGCUAGCGGAGGCGGGAUUUAUGACCUAUACUGCAGCCAGUCAACAGAGGGUGCUGUUCUCAGCGAGGAGGCAGAUGCUGUCCAUUCUAUAUACAGUCGAUGGUGAAAACUGAGAGUGAGUGACGUACUGCGAUCAAAACUGUACAUCUACAGUACAGCGAUGACGAUUCUGCCGAUCGUCACAGGCAUGGCGCUGUUCACGCAAAAGUGGAGGCAUCACAAAAGGACGAACGGCGUGGAAAAGACAAAGGCAGGUCCACUCAUCUAAUAAUCCAAUUUAUGCUGAUUUCACACAUGCUGUAAAAAAAAAAAAAAGCCUUUUUUGACUCACCACCGUCGCUCUGUCUUUCACCAGGGACUGCUGCAGCACAAACACAGAUGCUGAGCACAAAGCCCAAGGCCAGGACGCUGGU
rnacentral:lncRNA from 1 species